AAGUCGUAACAAGGUUUCCGUAGGUGAACCUGCGGAAGGAUCAUUAACACGUAUCCACGUAUCAAACCAACCUACCACGAACUGAUCUCCCCGUUGCACAAUCCUGGCUGUUCUCAAGGCAUUCACUUGUCUUGGGUUCUGGCUCGCGAAAGCUCGUCGAAUGGACUAUAAAUGGAGCCCUCUCGGGCAUCGUCUGUUCGACUGUUCCUCGAGAACGAGAGUGUGUAGCAUUGGAUUGUCCGGGCUUUUACCCAUCAUUCCAUUCGAAUGUACCCAUUUUUUCCAUUCAUGGUCUGAUACCCAUACCUAUUUCACCCUAUGUUGCAUAAUUGACUGAGGAACUUAACAUUCGCUAGAGAAAUCUAGCUGAAUGGAUCUAAGAUUUAUCUUAACUAAGCACAACUCUUAGCAAUGGAUAUCUUGGUUCUC
rnacentral:misc_RNA from 1 species